UGCGUAGGUGGCCAGGUAAGUUCGGUGUGAAAGCUCGGAGCUCAACUCCGAAAUGGCAUUGAAUACUACUUGGCUGAUAUUUGAGGGUCGGAGGGGAGACUGGAAUUCUCGGUGUAGCAGUGAAAUGCGUAGAUAUCGAGAGGAACACCAGUGGCGAGGCGAGUCUCUGGACGACACCUGACACUGAGGCACGAAAGCUAGGGGAGCAAACA
rnacentral:rRNA from 1 species